rnacentral:ncRNA from 1 species
GUAAAGACUGUGAAGGGAAGAGUAGGCUUAAGAGAAGGUUAAAGCGAGCCAGUGGUGGUGGGAGACUGGUACUGGACUUAAGCUGAAGAACAUCCCGGAGUCUCUUACCGAAAUCUAAUGAGAGUAGACUAAGACGUCUGUGGAACGUUAUAUCCACUAAAGGUGGCCUGUAUAGGCAAUUUGGGUGGUACCGCGAAGAUUAGCUCUUCGUCCCAUUU